rnacentral:rRNA from 1 species
GACGAACGCUGGCGGCGUGCUUAACACAUGCAAGUCGAACGGAAAGGCCCUGCUUUUGUGGGGUGCUCGAGUGGCGAACGGGUGAGUAACACGUGAGUAACCUGCCCUUGACUUUGGGAUAACUUCAGGAAACUGGGGCUAAUACCGGAUAGAAGCUCCUGCUGCAUGGUGGGGGUUGGAAAGUUUCGGCGGUUGGGGAUGGACUCGCGGCUUAUCAGCUUGUUGGUGGGGUAGUGGCUUACCAAGGCUUUGACGGGUAGCCGGCCUGAGAGGGUGACCGGCCACAUUGGGACUGAGAUACGGCCCAGACUCCUACGGGAGGCAGCAGUGGGGAAUAUUGCACAAUGGGCGGAAGCCUGAUGCAGCAACGCCGCGUGCGGGAUGACGGCCUUCGGGUUGUAAACCGCUUUCGCCUGUGACGAAGCGUGAGUGACGGUAAUGGGUAAAGAAGCACCGGCUAACUACGCG